rnacentral:rRNA from 1 species
AGAGUUUGAUUCUGGCUCAGAACGAACGUUGGCAGCGUGGAUUAGGCAUGCAAGUCGAACGGGAAGCCGUUGAUCAAUCUUCGGAGAGUGAUUCGGUGGAGAGUGGCGGAAGGGUGAGUAACGCGUGGAUAAGCUACCCUCAAGUCGGGGACAACCUCGGGAAACUGAGGCUAAUACCGGAUGUGGUCCUCUGUCGCAUGGCAGAGUGACUAAAGGUGGGGCUCCUUCGGGACCUGCCGCUUGGGGGGGUGUCCGCGUGCCAUCAGCUUGUUGGUAGGGUAACGGCCUACCAAGGCUUACGGCUAGCUGGUCUGAGAGGAUGAUCAGCCACACUGGGACUGAGACACUGCCCAGACUCCUACGGGAGGCUGCAGUCGAGGAUCAUUCGCAAUGCGCGAAAGCGUGACGAUGCGACGCUGCGUGGAGGAUGAAGGCUUUCGGGUUGUAAACUCCUGUCAUGAGGGAAAAGACGUCUUGGGGCUAACACCCCCGAGGCCCGAUGGUACCUCAAGAGGAAGCCACGGCUAACUCUGUGCCAGCAGCCGCGGUAAUACAGAGGUGGCGAGCGUUGUUCGGAUUUACUGGGCGUAAAGCGUGUGCAGGCGGUUUCGUAUGUCGAUGUGAAAGCCCACGGCCCAACCGAGGAAUUGCAUCCGAAACUGCGAAACUUGAGUACAGGAGGGGAGAGCGGAAUUCUUGGUGUAGCGGUGAAAUGCGUUGAUAUCAAGAAGAACACCGGUGGCGAAGGCGGCUCUCUGGAAUGUUACUGACGCUCAUACACGAAAGUUGGGGGAGCAAACAGGAUUAGAUACCCUGGUAGUCCCAACCGUAAACGGUGUGCACUUGGUGUUGGAGGUAUUGACCCCUUCAGUGCCGGAGCUAACGCGUUAAGUGCACCGCCUGGGGAGUACGGCCGCAAGGCUAAAACUCAAAGAAAUUGACGGGGGCCCGCACAAGCGGAGGAGCAUGUGGCUUAAUUCGAUGCAACGCGAAGAACCUUACCUGGGCUUGACAUGUAGCUGCACGCCCCGUGAAAGCGGGGUUCCUUCGAGGGUGCUACACAGGUGCUGCAUGGCUGUCGUCAGUUCGUGCCGUGAGGUGUUGGGUUAAGUCCCGCAACGAACGCAACCCUUGUGGUUAGUUGCCACCGUCGGUGAUAAGCCGGCGAGCACUCUAGCCAGACUGCCCGUGCAAGCGGGAGGAAGGUGGGGAUGACGUCAAGUCAGUAUGGCCCUUACGCCCAGGGCUGCACACGUGCUACAAUGGCCGGUACAGAAGGACGCAAUACCGCGAGGUGGAGCAAAUCCCAAAAACCGGCCUCAGCUCGGAUUGUAGUCUGCAACUCGACUACAUGAAGUUGGAUUCGCUAGUAACGGCGUAUCAGCUACGACGCCGUGAAUACGUUCCCGGGCCUUGUACACACCGCCCGUCACAUCAUGGAAGCCGUCUGGACCCGAAGUUGCUGAGCUAACCCGCAAGGGAGGCAGGUGCCUAAGGUCUGGGUGGUAACUGGGAU